GGAUUUAUUGGGCGUNAGAGCUCGUAGGCGGUUUGUCGCGUCUGCCGUGAAAGUCCGAGGCUCAACCUCGGAUCUGCGGUGGGUACGGGCAGACUAGAGUGAUGUAGGGGAGACUGGAAUUCCUGGUGUAGCGGUGAAAUGCGCAGAUAUCAGGAGGAACACCGAUGGCGAAGGCAGGUCUCUGGGCAUUUACUGACGCUGAGGAGCGAAAGCAUGGGGAGCGAACAGGAUUAGAUACCCUGGUAGUCCAUGCCGUAAACGUUGGGCACUAGGUGUGGGGGACAUUCCACGUUUUCCGCGCCGUAGCUAACGCAUUAAGUGCCCCGCCUGGGGAGUACGGCCGCAAGGCUAAAACUCAAAGGAAUUGACGGGGGCCCGCACAAGCGGCGGAGCAUGCGGAUUAAUUCGAUGCAACGCGAAGAACCUUACCAAGGCUUGACAUGUGCCAGACCGCCUCAGAGAUGGGGUUUCCCUUCGGGGCUGGUUCACAGGUGGUGCAUGGUUGUCGUCAGCUCGUGUCGUGAGAUGUUGGGUUAAGUCCCGCAACGAGCGCAACCCUCGUUCCAUGUUGCCAGCACGUAAAGGUGGGGACUCAUGGGAGACUGCCGGGGUCAACUCGGAGGAAGGGUGGGGGAUGACGUCAAAUCAUCAUGCCCCUUAUGUCUUGGGCUUCACGCAUGCUACAAUGGCCGGUACAAUGGGUUGCGAUACUGUGAGGUGGAGCUAAUCCCUAAAAGCCGGUCUCAGUUCGGANUGGGGUCUGCAACUCGACCCCAUGAAGUCGGAGUCGCUAGUAAUCGCAGAUCAGCAACGCUGCGGUGAAUACGUUCCCGGGCCUUGUACACACCGCCCGUCAAGUCACGAAAGUUGGUAACACCCGAAGCCGAUGGCCUAACCACCUUGUGNNGGGGGGGANUCGUCNAAGUGGGACUGGCGA
rnacentral:rRNA from 1 species